rnacentral:rRNA from 1 species
UACGUAGGGGGCAAGCGUUAUCCGGAUUUACUGGGUGUAAAGGGUGCGUAGGCGGUCCGUUAAGUCAGCGGUAAAAUUGCGGGGCUCAACCCCGUCGAGCCGUUGAAACUGGGGUUCUUGAGUGAGCGAGAAGUAUGCGGAAUGCGUGGUGUAGCGGUGAAAUGCAUAGAUAUCACGCAGAACCCCGAUUGCGAAGGCAGCAUACCGGCGCUCAACUGACGCUGAGGCACGAAAGUGCGGGUAUCGAACAGG